AGAGGAGAUAACUCAAAGGUCCUAUGUAAUUACCACAUCUUGAGCAAAGUCUAUGUGUAAUGCUCUCAUUUUGUCUGGGUAUGUUUCCUUGUGGCCUAGCAACCUAUGAACUAAAAAAUAAGUUAUCUCUCCUUCACAGCAUAAUAACCACAGUUAAGACUCCAUUUGGAAAAGGAAAGAGGCUGUUACUGGUCCAGAUGAACAGAAACUGCUAGGACCCCUUCCCUGGGAAUAGAUCUUCACACGGCAACAUCUUGUUCUGUUUUUUAGGAGGAACUCUCUGUUCAUCGUCUUCCAUGGCCUCAUCUGUGAUGGACACUGGAGAAUAAACCUUUCUUAAAGGCUGCAUAGCAUUGUACCCCAUUUUCCUGCUGGUGUAGGAUGUCUCUCCAUCCUGACAAUUCCAGAAUGCAGAGCAUGUGGAGUGAGUGUACUGCUUUGCUAAGAGUUCCAGACAUUCUCUGACAGGGGAGUUAUCAAGGCCCCAACUUUUUUUCCUGAGACUCAAGUUAGGGAAAUCUGUUGGGAUGGACUGAGGUAGCUCAGACCAAAGCCCAGUUGUAAGGAAAGGUAACAAAGCCAGUGGAAUAAACUGACUAGAUGCUUAAAAUUGGCAGAAGCAAUGCCUGAGGCCAGAAUUAAGAAGAAAACAAAGGGGGAUGGUGGUAGAACCUGACCUUCCCAGUCCUCCUGGGAGCUCAUGUAUACCUGGGGCAAUAGCUGUGUAAAUGAAUCAAAAUUUCUGUAACCUUGAGAACCCUGGCCAGGUUGGUGUGGAGCCAUUUUGAUCUGAAAAAACACUAAAGAAUGAGUAUUUCUUCUCAAGAACGAACACCACAAAGGUAGGAGUCUUACAAAGGGAAUCUACCGAGUGACUCCCUUUGUGGAUUGUUAAAAUGCUUUUCUAUCCAUAUAGGCCUAAAGUUUUUGAUAUAAGUUCAUCUGCUAGCUAGUUAUAAGACUUUGGAUAAUUUGAUGAACUACUCUGGGUCUCUUUUUCUUCAAGCGUAAAAUGCUGACUCACUAAAGUUUCUCCUGAAGUUUUGAAAUGAGGAAUGAGAUACAUUUAAUGUAUGAUUUUUUUUAUUGAAAAGUCUAAAAUACAACAGUAAGAUUGAGCUGUUAAUUUGGUUAGCAUACACUAAGUUGCCAUUUAGGACUGAAUGGCACAGAACUGCAAAUGCCUACAUUUAAUAUUUUUAAAAGUUCACAGCAUAAACUAGUGUUUAAAUUUUGCUUUUGUUUGGUGAGAAAUAGCUUGAUUUGACAUAUUCCAUACAGCCUAUCUUUUAAAAGUAUUUACUUUUUUUUUUUAAAGAAGAAUCUUUCCUGGUCGUAGAUUUAUGGUUAUCAAUUAAAUGUUAUAGCACAGUUUGUAUCUCAUUUCAUUCAUUCCUGUACACACUCCCUCUAGUGGCUCAAGCUACUUAUUUACUGAACAUUCCAGAGCCACUUAGUUUCUAGCUGUCCUGUACUGAUGCUUAAAUUUGUUCUCUCAUAGCCUUUCCUCAUCUAUUCAGAACCUCAUCUAUUCAGAACCUCAUCUACUCAGAAUUUAAAAACAUUAUUUAAGAAGAGACAAGGAAAAAAAGAUGGAGGGAUGAUUUUUGUGCCAUUUCAGGGUGACAGAAAAGGAAACAAGGAGAGCUGGAAUUGACCUGGAUCCUUGUGGGAAAUACUUCAGUGAUGGAUGGAAGCAGAGGGAGAAAGGACCAAAAUGAAGCCAGGAGGGACAAGAUGGCUGGAAUGUUUGGUUCUGAGGAUUCAUGAUUGUCCUUAACUCACACGGACUGAACUCUCGCUUGCCUGUCUUCCUGGGGCUUGUGUAAGAACAUCCUGCAGAAAAGUAUUAACAACGCGAGUGAUCUUCACUGUGUUUAACGAUUCAUUGAUUGUAAAAGAUGUUUUACCUGGGAUAACAAUGAGUGUGUAUUCCUGGAGCCUAAACUCACUGACCUGGAAGGGGGCCCCGAGAAGUGUGCUAAGUGGACAAAGGAAGCCUGGCUAGAGUUUAUAGUUUUCUAACUAGAUAAUUGAGUGAACUAAAAGGUCUUUUAUUAUCCUUAUGUGGAUUACGUACUUUGCAGGAUAUGCAUAGUCAUUAUUAAAACCAUGUGUACUCCUGUCUCACUUCUGAGCACCUUCUCUGAAAUCAGUCCAUAUAUGCUCAGGAAUGCAAACCACACUCAUUUCAGAGUCAGUGUCAACAAACAUAAUUAAGGAGGCAAAUUUACUUCAUAAGUUUUCUAAUGCCUUCUGCAUUAAAUAGAAAUGACUUUUGGCUGCUCCCAUCUAUUCAUGUGUAUAAUUGUUAAGUUCAGAUCUGAUUUUCCUGGAAGAACAAGUUUGAAUCUCAACAGGCUUGAUCUAGUCUCCCAUCUCCAUGUUCCCCAUAGUGACAGGUAAUUCAUGGAAAUUACUGUCUCAGCAUUUUAAAUAAACCUCCUUUAAGCUGAAAUCAAGAUGAUCUCAUAUAGAAAAGAGUGUAGGUAAAACUCAUAUUUAAGAAAUGGUACAGAGUGAGCAGAAAUUCUCACAGAAUUUUUGAGUCAGAAAUAUUUUUGUUAUACGGGAAAAAGGGACUUGCAGUUGUGCUCUUGAUUAUAAAAAGAAAGGAAAUCAAAUAGCUUUGAAAUGUUCCAUUAAAACCUUAUUUUAAUAUAUUCUUGCCACAAUGUAAGGACCUAUGUAAACUAAGUAAAAUUUCAUGACUCACACUGAGUUGCAUUUUGUAUCAUUUUCUUGUCUUCAUUGCUAUUUCUUUUCUUUUCUUUUUUUUUUUUUUUUCUCGAGACAGAGUCUCACUUUGUUGCCAGGCUGGAGUGCAGUAGCGUGAUCUCAGCUGACUGCAAUCUCCACCUCCCAGGUUCAAG
rnacentral:lncRNA from 10 species